AGAACGAACGCUGGCGGCAGGCUUAACACAUGCAAGUCGAACGGGUGUAGCAAUACACCAGUGGCAGACGGGUGAGUAACACGUGGGAACCUUCCUCGUAGUACGGAACAACUCAGGGAAACUUGUGCUAAAUACCGUAUACGUCCGAGAGGAGAAAGAUUUAUCGCUAUGAGACGGGCCCGCGUCGGAUUAGGUAGUUGGUGGGGUAACGGCCUACCAAGCCUACGAUCCGUAGCUGAUCUGAGAGGAUGAUCAGCCACACUGGGACUGAGACACGGCCCAGACUCCUACGGGAGGCAGCAGUGGGGAAUCUUGGACAAUGGGCGCAAGCCUGAUCCAGCCAUGCCGCGUGAGUGAAGAAGGCCUUAGGGUUGUAAAGCUCUUUUGGCAGGGACGAUAAUGACGGUACCUGCAGAAUAAGCCCGGCAAACUUCGUGCCAGCAGCCGC
rnacentral:rRNA from 1 species